AUCUCUGAUGAUGAUCAGCCUAAAACUUUCGUUCUUCCGAGGUUAAUCUAUGCGGAAAAUUUAUGGAGACCUGAACUGAAGAGAU
rnacentral:snoRNA from 1 species